rnacentral:rRNA from 1 species
GGAUUAAUUUAUUGGUCGUGCUAUUGUACGUACUGGUAUUAUUGAUUCCUACCUUCUGACGAACCAUGAUGUCAUUAAUUUGGUGUCAUGGGGAAUCAGGACUGUUACUUUGAAAAAAUUAGAGUGUUUAAAACAGGCUUAUGCUUGAAUACUACAGCAUGGAAUAACGGAAUAGGACUU